AAAUCAAAUUAUUUUCUAUAAUUACAUUUCUGUUCAAACAAUGUAUCAUAUAUCGAUACAAUAAAUUACGUUGUUGUAUUUCUUAUAUACAUGCAAACGCGCGAAAAAAUAGUGCAUUGUCUCUUUGUGUCACAGAUUGACACAGUUCCCGAGAUAUAGCUAUUUUGUUAAUUUAUUUUGUAUAAUGGCUAUAACACAAAUUAACCCAAUUGAAAUUGUCGACAUCUUCUCGGCAUCACUAGACGGAAGCGUCGGCUUCGAAGGCUCUCCUGCACCUCUCCUUUUUAGUUCUUUCUUCUUUCUUUAUCUCAACUUUUGAUAUGUUGAAGAUCUGUAGGGUGUUGUUUCGGUGAUGGCUCCACUCGAGAAGAAUCUAGAUUCACCGGUUUUCUAUGCUCUUUGGCGUCGAUGUGAGAUUGGUUAGACAGUGGCAGCAGUAGAGGUCGGUGUUUUAGGGUUGUCGAGUGGAUCUCUUUUUUUCGUUAGGUUUUGUGCCACUUUCAGAUUCAAUGCGUGUGGGGAAGGAGUGAAGGCUCUUCUCACAGAUCCAUGUUGCUUUUAGUCGGUUAUGCAAAUCCGGUUGGUUUGUUGUUAAGAUAGGUAUCAAUUGCUGGGUUUUUGUCAUGUCUUUGGUGUCUCGGUUUGACGGACUCAUCAAACUGAUGACGGGUGAACGUUGGAGGAUUCCUAUACCUUAGCGAUGCGUUCUUGGAGUGUCUUACCAGCAUGUGUUAGUGCCUCUGACGACAGUGAAUAUUGAAAUGAAGAGUGGUUUUACGUUGUGAUCAUCUACGGCCAAUUCGUGCAUGUGGUCUUUCUCAUCUUCGAUCUCCUUACUCGGCCUCAUAUCCAAAUCUCAGCUUGAGCUAAUGACGACUAUAUCUGCUGCUGGUGAGCUACUCGUUUUAUUGAGGUUUAUUAAUUUAUAAUAGUUGUUGGAGCUAAUUUUGGUGCGACGAAGUUACUCCAUCCUUUGGUUAUCAAAGGUGGCAAAUGGCGAAGAAAUUGGUGGCUUCAGGUGACCUUAUAGGCCUCAGCUUUCCUUUGGUGACUCCAUUUGGCCGAAGCAACAUAUCUCAGCGUCAUUGGUUAAUGAUUGUUUUUGGUGGUAUUGCUUAUUUAUCUCCUUUGUGCAAGUCAUUAUGGGUUUUCUGAAGGUUAUGCAUGUCUUUUCUCAACCCGGUUGUAUUAAUAAAUUCAAAGCUUCAAUGUGGCAGUGGUAUCACCUGUAAGGAGAAAUCAGAAUUUUAGUACUCCUGUCCCGAUUAAUCAAGACCGGCCAAUGACCAUGAUAUUGGAUCUGGAGUUAUAACAACCAAGUAGUCUAUGUAUCAUUCGUUAUUGUUGGAUCUGGAGUUGCGAAGUGAUUUAUGUGUAUGUUCUUCGGAAUUGUAGCAAGUCUUAGAUUGUACGAAUUUUAUUUGAAUCACCAUUAUAUUUUGAUGUUAUUGUCUUUUUGGAGAUAAACAAUGAAAUCACAG
rnacentral:lncRNA from 1 species